UCCCUAGAACUGAUUUCCUCUAAGACCUUCAAGGAGGAUUCUGAGUCCUGGCUUUGCAAUAGGAAUCCGGAAAUUUUUGCAAACCUGAGGUCUUGUGCUACCAAGCUCCCAGGCCUGUGUGAAGAAGGCCAGUGUCUCAGACACGGCUGCAUCGCCAAGCGUUGUCGCUGCUGGAACCUCUGGAACCCAAACCCAUGGCCACAUCCUCUCCUGAACCACAGACCACAGACCCGCCAGUUUCCGGCCAUCAGCUAGUCCACAAAAAUCUCGAGUUGAGUGAAAGCGUGUCAAACCCGAGAUGUUGCAGAUACCAGUAGUAUGUUAUUGAGACACUUCAUUGUCCUAGCACUAUCACUCAAAUAAGAACCAAAAAGGAACAAGCUAGUGGUUAUAUGACUGCGUUUUUGCUAGCUGUUGGGGAGAUUUUUGUCCUUUGUAAUUUGUAUAAUUGUAAAGUUCCCUGUAGAGAAGAAAAUACAAUAGUAAAAGUAUAUUUAAAAUGUUAAUAAAAUGCUAUUACUUGCA